UACGUAGGGUGCAAGCGUUAAUCGGAAUUACUGGGCGUAAAGCGUGCGCAGGCGGCUAUGCAAGACAGAUGUGAAAUCCCCGGGCUCAACCUGGGAACUGCAUUUGUGACUGCAUGGCUAGAGUACGGUAGAGGGGGAUGGAAUUCCGCGUGUAGCAGUGAAAUGCGUAGAUAUGCGGAGGAACACCGAUGGCGAAGGCAAUCCCCUGGGCCUGCACUGACGCUCAUGCACGAAAGCGUGGGGAGCAAACAGGAUUAGAUACCCC
rnacentral:rRNA from 1 species